AUUGAACGCUGGCGGCAUGCCUAACACAUGCCAGUCGAGCGGAUGAAGGGAGCUUGCUCCUGGAUUCAGCGGCGGACGGGUGAGUAAUGCCUAGGAAUCUGCCUGGUAGUGGGGUAUAACGUCCGGAAACGGGCGCUAAUACCGCAUACGUCCUGAGGGAGAGAGUGGGGGAUCUUCGGACCUCACGCUAUCAGAUGAGCCUAGGUCGGAUUAGCUAGUUGGUGGGGUAAAGGCCUACCAAGGCGACGAUCCGUAACUGGUCUGAGAGGAUGAUCAGUCACACUGGAACUGAGACACGGUCCAGACUCCUACGGGAGGCAGCAGUGGGGAAUAUUGGACAAUGGGCGAAAGCCUGAUCCAGCCAUGCCGCGUGUGUGAAGAAGGUCUUCGGAUUGUAAAGCACUUUUAGUUGGGAGGAAGGGCAGUAAGUUAAUACCUUGCUGUUUUGACGUUACCAACAGAAUAAGCACCGGCUAACUUCGUG
rnacentral:rRNA from 1 species